CCAUGAAACUUGAUCUUCCUGAAAUUCUCCUUCAAGCCGACGACUAGGGUUUAAUUAAUCCAAAAAAAUGAGAGUUCAAAAAACAUAUGAAAAUGCCUUAAAUAUGCCUUAAAAUAGAGUAAAGUCUUUUGACCCAGUCCACUCAAAUUAGUCUAACAGGUAAUUAGCCAGGCGGGUAGAUUUUAAACGUUGUCUCUUGCCCGUGACUUGUUUAGAUUCUUGUACUUGGGUGUCAACUGACACAAAAGUCUUUCUCUUGUCAUUAGGGUUUGUCAUAUGUUCUUCCAACAAAGGCUCUUCCCAUGCUUCCGCCUCCGCCUCUAUCCCAUCGGUGCUCUUAUCUUCUCCGGACUCAGGUAACUCGUUUAACCCAUCCUCUUCUUCAUCUUGCGCUGGUAUCCAUUUCCUCAUCUCAUCUAUAGUAUCUUGUGAUAACGUAACUCCGGUUACAUCUCCUCCCCCAUCCGGAAAUGACUCGACCUCGAUCAAAUCUAAUAGAGGGAAACUUCGAGACGAUGUCUUCCACCUUUUCCCACGAUGUUUCUUCCGGCCCGAGACCACACCAACGGAUCAGCACCUCGUUCUCCUCUUUUUCUUUGACGAACAGGGUUCUCUUGGAUAUUAAACUCUCCGGCACGACGAUGGGAUUAUUAUUUACAACCAACGGUGGUAACCUGCAAGGUAUAUUUAAUUUAUUUUUAAACAAGUAAUUAACAAGGAUUAAUUUAUAAUAUAUGACAAUUGGACUAAUGUGCAAUUAAAUAUAAGUGCAGGUUACCUAGAUAUAACAAGUUCACAGAUUCGUGGGUGAAACUAUAAGUUCACCAAUUAAAUACCGAUGGGCCAAAGGAUAUGAAAAGAUUAAUGGGCCAAGGUGUUUGAAGAAGCCCAGCAACGAACUAAAUAGUUAAGGACAGUUAAUUUGUUGUUAAGCGAAGUGUGCUUGUUUAGUCAAUAAGUAGUCAGAUGUAAUUGAUUUUUAAUUCAACGAAAUAUACACACAUUUUUUUAAUCAAGGUUUAAUUGAUUAUACAGCUACAGUACGUCGCAACUAACAAGAAGUUAGUUAAAUCGAAUAAACCUAAUUGAUUACACAGCUCGUCGUCCGGCGACACAUUUCCGCCGGCGAGUGCGUG
rnacentral:lncRNA from 1 species